AGAACGAACGCUGGCGGCGUGGAUAAGACAUGCAAGUCGAACGGGAUAUUUCCUGUAGCAAUACAGGGAAUGUCCAGUGGCGUAAGGGUGCGUAACACGUGGGCAACCUGCCGGGAAGUGGGGGAUAGCUCGCCGAAAGGCGAAUUAAUACCGCAUAUGGCCAGGGAAGACAUCUUCCCAACGCCAAAGCUGGGGCAACCUAGCGCUUCCUGAUGGGCCCGCGGCCUAUCAGCUUGUUGGUGAGGUAACGGCUCACCAAGGCUAUGACGGGUAGC
rnacentral:rRNA from 1 species